GGCGGCGCAGAACGCACGCAGGAUCAGAAAGGCGGAGGCGGCAGCGGCAGCGCGAGCUCAUCGGCCCCCCUCCCCCACCCCCUCCCCCGCGGCGGGAAACCCGAGAACGGCAGGAACGGCGGCCGGAAUCAGUUAACGGGGCGGGUCAGGGCGGUAAUUAUCGUGCGGGUGUUAAUUGGGGCUCGGCGGGUGAAUGAGUGACCGGCGGGCUGGGGUGUAUCUGGGGGUUUUGAUCGGAACUGGGGUUUUAAAGCCGCGGGUUUGUGGGGGGUGGGGGGGCGGGGGCGAUUAAGGCUCCCGGAGCCGCUUUAGCGGCUUAAAUCGUUGUGUUGAACGCGGGAGGAGCCGGUUCGGGGCUUUUCUCAGCAAGCGGGGCUGGUUUGGGUCUAAUUCGGCUUUUAAAAGAUGUUUUUACGUAAUUUUUGGGUGCCGAUUUGUGCCAGAAGGCGCCUUUGAAAUCUGUUUAUUGAGGGUUUAUCAGGAGAAUUAAAGUUUAAAGCUCGGGGAGAUUUGGGGCUUUUCCCCGGGAUUUUGAGUCCAAAUCGGUUUUUUUAGAGCCCUUAUUUAUUUAAAUUGUUAUGUUUAAAGGGUUUAUUUGAGGUUUUAUUUGGAACAUUUUGGGCGGGUUUGAGGCUCCUAAGAUUUAAUUGUUGGUUUAUUAUUUGAUUUAUUAUUUCACUGCGGUGCGGGGCUCCUGAAGACGCUGAGUUGUUUCAAUUAUUUAGCGCUGUGAGGACCCGUUUUGGGGCCGUUGGGGUCUAAAUCGGCUUUUUAAAAGGUUUAUUUAACGCGUUUAAAGUUUGAGGGGCCGAUUUGCGACUUUAAAGAUUUUUGAAUCUACUUAUUGAUAAGAAUUUAUACAAUAGAUUAAUAUUUAAAGCCCGGGGGGAGAUUUGGGGCUGUUUCCCAGGAUUGCGAGUCCAAAUGCGUUUUUUUCUGUUAACCGCUUAUUAAUUUAAAUUAUUAUAUUUAAACGGGGCUUUUUGAGGUUUUAUGAGGGUUUUUUUGAGCAUUUUGGGCGGUUCUGAGGCUCCUAAAGCCGCUUAAUUGUUUAAAUUAUUAAUUGUUAAAAUAAUGUAAGUAGUUGUUGAAAUAAGUGUGUAAGUUAUUGUAUUUAAAGCCGGGAGGGGCAUUUCGUUGCUUUUUGGGGGGUUUUAGGGCUGAAUUCACUUCAUUGAACGUGUCUAGAGCUGGGGGUCCCAGAUCUGGUGCUGAUUUGGCCCCAAAAAAAGCUUUAAAAAUCUAUUUAUUUAUAUAAUUUACUGAAUUAAUAUUUAAGCGGGAACAUGUUCGGCUUUUUUAACCCGCCGCCAUUUUGUCUCCCCCGUCCCGCUCUCCCUCACGCUGAGGGGGCCGAGGAGACGCUCGCUGAUUGGCCGGUGCCGUCUGGCGGGAAAGCCUCCCCCGGCUCAGCCCCGCUCGGCUGUCUCCGAGGGAGAGAAAGGCGCUGAUUGGUCGCUGCCUCUGAGGAGAGAAAGGCGCUGAUUGGUCGCCGCCUCCCUAAACCCACCUCCUGCGCAGAGAACAGCGAAGGCAGCCUGGCCACGCCCCCUCCGGCUGACCGCGCCCCCCGCUCCGGCUGACCGCGCGUGCCCCCCCCGCAACUCGGCUGACUGUGCCCCCCCCAACUCCGGCUGACUGUGCCCCCCCGCCCCCCGGCUGAUCCCGUGCCCCCCCCACUGCACUCCUGCUGACUGUGUGCCCCCCCCACCUCCUCCAGCUGGCCACAUCUCCACUGCACACCAUGGCGGGGAUGGGGUGGGGGGGGAUCACAAGGGUCUAUGGGGCGGUGUGGGGGUCAGGGCGGCUGUGGGGUCAAUGGGGUUGUUGUGGGGUGAAACACCCCUGAAGAGGCUGAACCCCCUACAGGUGAGUGACCCACACAGUGCCCCACAGUGCCCCAUAGCACCUCCACUCUGCCCUAUGGAUCCACAACACUGCCCCACAGCACCCUAUAGCUCCUGCUUGCUAUCCCACAGCACCCCAUGGCUUCUCCACUCUGCGCCAUAUGUCUACAGCAGUGCCACAGAGUACCUCAUAUGUCUUCCACUCUGCCCCAUGGGUGCAGAGUGCUGCCCUACAGCACCCUAUAGCUCCUGUACUCUGCCCCACAGAUCCACAGUGCUGUCCCACAGCACCCUAUAGCUCAUCUGGCCUAUAGACCCACUGUACUGCCCUACAGUGCCCCAUGGCUCCUACACUCUGCCCCAUAGACCCACAACACUGCCUCACAACACCCCAUUGCUCCUGCACUCUGCCCCAUGGAUGCCCAGUACUGCCCCACAGCACCAUAUAGGUCCUGUACUCUGCCCCAUAUAUCCACAGGAGUGCCCUGCAGCACCCCAUGGCUCCUGCACUCUGCCCCAUGGAUGCCCAGUACUGCCCAACAGCACCAUAUAGGUCCUGUACUCUGCCCCAUACAUCCACAGGAGUGCCCCCCAGCACCCUAUGGCUCCUGCAUUCUGACCCAUGGUGGAUGCCCAGUACUGCCCCACAGCACCAUAUAGGUCCUGUACUCUGCCCCAUACAUCCACAGGAGUGCCCCCCAGCACCCCAUGGCUCCUGCACUCUGCCCCAUGGAUGCCCAGUACUGCCCCACAGCACCAUAUAGGUCCUGUACUCUGCCCCAUACAUCCACAGGAGUGCCCCCCAGCACCCCAUGGCUCCUGCACUCUGCCCCAUGGAUGCCCAGUACUGCCCCACAGCACCGUAUAGCUCCUCUACUCUGCCCCAUACAUCCACAGGAGUGCCCCCCAGCACCCCAUAGUGACUCUACUCUUCCCCAUAGACCCACAGUGCUGCUGCACAGGACUCUACUCUGCCCCUUAGACCCAGAGAGCUGCCCCACAGCAGCCUGUAGGUGCUGCGUUCUGCCCCAUUGGUGCAAAGUGCUGCCCCACAGCGCCCCACACCUCUGUCCACCUGACCACCCUUCCCUCCUGACUGCGCCUGCACUGCCCACUAUGGGUGGGUCACAAGGGUCUAUGGGGCGGUGUGGGGGUCAGGGCGGCUGUGGGGUCAAUGGGGUUGUUGUGGUGUGAAACACCCCUGAAGAGGUUGAACCCCCUACAGGUGAGUGACCCACACAGUGACCCACAGCAGCCCAUAGCCCCUCUGCCCUAUAGAGUCACUGCACCCCAUAGCUGCUUUUACUCUGCACCAUAAAUGGACAGCAGUGCUCCACAGCACCCUAAGUCUCCACUGUGCCCCAUAGACACACAGUGCUGU